CGGGGUGAGUAAUGUAUGGGGAUCUGCCUGAUGGCGGGGGAUAACUACUGGAAACGGUAGCUAAUACCGCAUAAUGUCUGCGGACCAAAGCGGGGGACCUCCGGGCCUCGCGCCAUCAGAUGAACCCAUAUGGGAUUAGCUUGUAGGUAAGGUAACGGCUUACCUAGGCGACGAUCCCUAGCUGGUCUGAGAGGAUGAUCAGCCACACUGGGACUGAGACACGGUCCAG
rnacentral:rRNA from 1 species